rnacentral:rRNA from 1 species
GCAAGUCGAGCGGUAACAGAUCCAGCUUGCUGGAUGCUGACGAGCGGCGGACGGGUGAGUAAUGCAUAGGAAUCUGCCCGAUAGUGGGGGAUAACCUGGGGAAACCCAGGCUAAUACCGCAUACGUCCUACGGGAGAAAGGGGGCUCCGGCUCCCGCUAUGGGAUGAGCCUAUGUCGGAUUAGCUAGUUGGUGAGGUAACGGCUCACCAAGGCCACGAUCCGUAGCUGGUCUGAGAGGAUGAUCAGCCACAUCGGGACUGAGACACGGCCCGAACUCCUACGGGAGGCAGCAGUGGGGAAUAUUGGACAAUGGGGGAAACCCUGAUCCAGCCAUGCCGCGUGUGUGAAGAAGGCCCUCGGGUUGUAAAGCACUUUCAGCGAGGAAGAACGCCUAGCGGUUAAUACCCGCUAGGAAAGACAUCACUCGCAGAAGAAGCACCGGCUAACUCCGUGCCAGCAGCCGCGGUAAUACGGAGGGUGCAAGCGUUAAUCGGAAUUACUGGGCGUAAAGCGCGCGUAGGUGGCUUGAUAAGCCGGUUGUGAAAGCCCCGGGCUCAACCUGGGAACGGCAUCCGGAACUGUCAAGCUAGAGUGCAGGAGAGGAAGGUAGAAUUCCCGGUGUAGCGGUGAAAUGCGUAGAGAUCGGGAGGAAUACCAGUGGCGAAGGCGGCCUUCUGGACUGACACUGACACUGAGGUGCGAAAGCGUGGGUAGCAAACAGGAUUAGAUACCCUGGUAGUCCACGCCGUAAACGAUGUCGACCAGCCGUUGGGUGCCUAGCGCACUUUGUGGCGAAGUUAACGCGAUAAGUCGACCGCCUGGGGAGUACGGCCGCAAGGUUAAAACUCAAAUGAAUUGACGGGGGCCCGCACAAGCGGUGGAGCAUGUGGUUUAAUUCGAUGCAACGCGAAGAACCUUACCUACUCUUGACAUCCUGCG